CCUACGGGAGGCAGCAGUGGGGAAUAUUGGACAAUGGGGGCAACCCUGAUCCAGCCAUGCCGCGUGAAUGAUGAAGGCCUUCGGGUUGUAAAGUUCUUUUGGUGGGGAGGCGGUACCCACAGAAUAAGCUCCGGCUAACUUCGUGCCAGCAGCCGCGGUAAUACGAAGGGAGCUAGCGUUGUUCGGAAUUACUGGGCGUAAAGGGCGCGUAGGCGGUUUAAUAAGUUGGGUGUGAAAUCCCAGGGCUCAACCCUGGAACUGCACCCAAGACUGUUUUACUUGAAUUCGGUAGAGGAUGGUGGAAUUCCCAGUGUAGAGGUGAAAUUCGUAGAUAUUGGGAAGAAUAUCCGUGGCGAAGGCGGCCAUCUGGACCGAAUUGACGCUGAGGCGCGAAAGCGUGGGGAGCAAACAGGAUUAGAUACCCUUGUAGUC
rnacentral:rRNA from 1 species